rnacentral:rRNA from 1 species
GAUGAACGCUGGCGGUAUGCUUAACACAUGCAAGUCGAACGGACUCUUCGGAGUUAGUGGCGGACGGGUGAGUAACGCGUGAGAAUCUGGCUUUGGGUUCGGGACAACCACUGGAAACGGUGGCUAAUACCGGAUGCGCCGAGAGGUAAAAGAGAAAUUGCCUGAAGAUGAGCUCGCGUCUGAUUAGCUAGUUGGUGAGGUAAAGGCUCACCAAGGCAGCGAUCAGUAGCUGGUCUGAGAGGAUGACCAGCCACACUGGGACUGAGACACGGCCCAGACUCCUACGGGAGGCAGCAGUGGGGAAUUUUCCGCAAUGGGCGAAAGCCUGACGGAGCAGUACCGCGUGAGGGAAGAAGGCUCUUGGGUUGUAAACCUCUUUUCUUAGGGAAGAACAAAAUGACGGUACCUAAGGAAUCAGCAUCGGCUAACUCCGUG